GUGCUUAACACAUGCAAGUCGAACGGAAAGGCCCUGCUUUUGUGGGGUGCUCGAGUGGCGAACGGGUGAGUAACACGUGAGUAACCUGCCCUUGACUUUGGGAUAACUUCAGGAAACUGGGGCUAAUACCGGAUAGGAGCUCCUGCUGCAUGGUGGGGGUUGGAAAGUUUCGGCGGUUGGGGAUGGACUCGCGGCUUAUCAGCUUGUUGGUGGGGUAGUGGCUUACCAAGGCUUUGACGGGUAGCCGGCCUGAGAGGGUGACCGGCCACAUUGGGACUGAGAUACGGCCCAGACUCCUACGGGAGGCAGCAGUGGGGAAUAUUGCACAAUGGGCGGAAGCCUGAUGCAGCAACGCCGCGUGCGGGAUGACGGCCUUCGGGUUGUAAACCGCUUUCGCCUGUGACGAAGCGUGAGUGACGGUAAUGGGUAAAGAAGCACCGGCUAACUACGUGCCAGCAGCCGCGGUGAUACGUAGGGUGCGAGCGUUGUCCGGAUUUAUUGGGCGUAAAGGGCUCGUAGGUGGUUGAUCGCGUCGGAAGUGUAAUCUUGGGGCUUAACCCUGAGCGUGCUUUCGAUACGGGUUGACUUGAGGAAGGUAGGGGAGAAUGGAAUUCCUGGUGGAGCGGUGGAAUGCGCAGAUAUCAGGAGGAACACCAGUGGCGAAGGCGGUUCUCUGGGCCUUUCCUGACGCUGAGGAGCGAAAGCGUGGGGAGCGAACAGGCUUAGAUACCCUGGUAGUCCACGCUGUAAACGGUGGGUACUAGGUGUGGGGUCCAUUCCACGGGUUCCGUGCCGUAGCUAACGCUUUAAGUACCCCGCCUGGGGAGUACGGCCGCAAGGCUAAAACUCAAAGGAAUUGACGGGGCCCCGCACAAGCGGCGGAGCAUGCGGAUUAAUUCGAUGCAACGCGUAGAACCUUACCUGGGUUUGACAUGGAUCGGGAGUGCUCAGAGAUGGGUGUGCCUCUUUUGGGGUCGGUUCACAGGUGGUGCAUGGCUGUCGUCAGCUCGUGUCGUGAGAUGUUGGGUUAAGUCCCGCAACGAGCGCAACCCUUGUUCACUGUUGCCAGCACGUUAUGGUGGGGACUCAGUGGAGACCGCCGGGGUCAACUCGGAGGAAGGUGGGGAUGACGUCAAGUCAUCAUGCCCCUUAUGUCCAGGGCUUCACGCAUGCUACAAUGGCUGGUACAGAGAGUGGCGAGCCUGUGAGGGUGAGCGAAUCUCGGAAAGCCGGUCUCAGUUCGGAUUGGGGUCUGCAACUCGACCUCAUGAAGUCGGAGUCGCUAGUAAUCGCAGAUCAGCAACGCUGCGGCGAAUACGUUCCCGGGGCUUGUACACACCGCCCGUCAAGUCAUGAAAGUUGGUAACACCCGAAGCCGGUGGCCUAACCGUUGUGGGGGAGCCGUCGAAGGUGGGACUGGUGAUUAGGACUAAAUC
rnacentral:rRNA from 1 species